rnacentral:rRNA from 1 species
GCUCAGGAUGAACGCUAGCUACAGGCUUAACACAUGCAAGUCGAGGGGUAGCAGGGUAGCAAUACCGCUGACGACCGGCGCACGGGUGAGUAACACGUAUCCAACCUUCCCAUAACUCAGGGAUAGCCUUUCGAAAGAAAGAUUAAUACCUGAUAGUACUUAAGAAAGGCAUCUUUUUUAAGUUAAAGAUUUAUUGGUUAUGGAUGGGGAUGCGUUCCAUUAGAUAGUUGGUGAGGUAACGGCUCACCAAGUCUUCGAUGGAUAGGGGUUCUGAGAGGAAGGUCCCCCACAUUGGUACUGAGACACGGACCAAACUCCUACGGGAGGCAGCAGUGAGGAAUAUUGGUCAAUGGGCGAGAGCCUGAACCAGCC